rnacentral:rRNA from 1 species
CGAUAACGAACGAGACCUUAACCUGCUAAAUAGCCCGUAUUGCUUUGGCAGUACGCCGGCUUCUUAGAGGGACUAUCGGCUCAAGCCGAUGGAAGUUUGAGGCAAAAACAGGUCUGUGAUGCCCUUAGAUGUUCUGGGCCGCACGCGCGCUACACUGACAGAGCCAGCGAGUUCUCCCUUGGCCGGAAGGCCCGGGUAAUCUUGGUAAACUCUGUCGUGCGGGGGAUAGAGCAUUGCAAUUAUUGCUCUUCAACGAGGAAUCCCUAGUAAGCGCAAGUCAUCAGCUUGCGUUGAUUACGUCCCUGCCCUUUGUACACACCGCCCGUCGCUACUACCGAUUGAAUGGCU